rnacentral:rRNA from 1 species
GACGUAGGGCGCGAGCGUUGUCCGGAUUUAUUGGGCGUAAAGAGCUCGUAGGCGGCUUGUCGCGUCGACUGUGAAAUCCCGCGGCUCAACUGCGGGUCUGCAGUCGAUACGGGCAGGCUAGAGUUCGGUAGGGGAGACUGGAAUUCCUGGUGUAGCGGUGAAAUGCGCAGAGAUCGGGAGGAACACCGGUGGCGAAGGCGGCAUCCUGGACCAAUACUGACGCUGAGGAGCGAAAGCCAGGGGAGCAAACGGG